UAGGGAAUCUUCGGCAAUGGACGAAAGUCUGACCGAGCAACGCCGCGUGAGUGAAGAAGGUUCUCGGAUCGUAAAACUCUGUUGUAAGAGAAGAAUGACAUUGAGAGUAACUGUUCAAUGUGUGACGGUAUCUUACCAGAAAGGAACGGCUAAAUACGUGCCAG
rnacentral:rRNA from 1 species